GAUAGAUAGAUCUUACAAAGCCCUAGGGUUUAUAUUUAUACCCUGCUCAAAGAGCUACAACCAGACACGACUAGAACUCGAAUUCCAAAUUAAACAGAAUCCGUAUACAAAACGAUCUAAAUAACUAAGGAAAACAUAAAACUAUCCUCCCGUGACAGACUGGGACACCACCACAAGCCAAUCGGCAACCUUCAGGUUCCUCUUCCGAAUCAUCGGCAAACCCCAUCGUAGCCAUCGGCACGGGUUGACGCUGACCAUCGGCACAAACACAUCAGCACCCAUAGACUUAGCCACAUUCAACUGUCCCUUCAUCGGCAACCACUCUCAUCGGCAACUCUCCUGCAAACCAGUCACUGUUGCCCCAUCUUGCCGAUCUAUACUCUACCGAUCC
rnacentral:lncRNA from 1 species